rnacentral:rRNA from 1 species
GACGAACGCUGGCGGCGUGCUUAACACAUGCAAGUCGAACGAAGUGGCGAACGGGUGAGUAACGCGUAAUCAACCUGCCCUUCAGAGGGGGACAACAGUUGGAAACGACUGCUAAUACCGCAUACUGAAGGUGGGGAUUGCGUCGGAUUAGCUAGUUGGAGGGGUAACGGCCCACCAAGGCGAUGAUCAGUAGGCGGUCUGGGGGGGUGGACGGCAAACAUGGGACUGGGGAACGGCCCAGAAUCCUUCGGGGGGGAGCAAGUGGGAAACUUCCGCAAAGGACGAAAGGCUGGCGGAGCAACGCCGGGUGGGGUAUGACGGGCUUCGGGUUGUAAAGCUCUGUUAAUCGGGACGCGGUACCGGAAUAGAAAGCCACGGCUAACUACGUGCCAGCCGCCGCGGUAAUAC